rnacentral:lncRNA from 1 species
CUGGCAGGGAGUGGAGCCAGAGGCAGAAAAGGAGAGAAAAGUUUCCUGCCAUCUUCAUUAGUUGACUUCCCAGUCCACAGCCACAGCUUCCCGGGGCUGCAGAAUUCACUCUCAAUAAAGAAAGGAGGCUUAAAAAAAAAAAAAAAAGUCCUGUGUUUACAAGACCAGAAAUGCCAGCGCUAAGUCCUUCCAGAGAGAAAGGCUGAAAUGGAGGACCGACGCCUUCCUUAUAAGCUCAUCGGAGCACGAUAGAAAAGCAACUGUAAAGGCAGAGAGAGUAAGAGCGGAAGGAAGGAAGUCAGCGCCAACGUAGACCAAAAGGAACCACCCAGAAAUGUAGAAAAAGGAACCGGCAGAGGUCCCCAACAUCGGUAGAAGGACAGAAGACACGCACGGAGAAAGGUUUAUGUUUUGUUUUGUUGUUUUUUAAAUUUCAACUUGGAGCUCAAUGAAGAAAAGGCAAAAUAUAGGCCAGUGGACCAGAGGACCGGAAGAGGACCAGUCAUAGCUCACAGUGUGCCGGGUCCAGAUGGAAGGAACUCCAGACAAACCCCAGUGGCAGGAUAGGCACAGUCCUGAAGGCUGGGGGCUCGCCCCUUGAAACCCUCUUCGCAGGCUGCCUGAGUUCUUUUGCUCUCCUUAUCAUCCCCAUCUUUAUGACGAGGCUUGUUAACAUGACCAGCGAUCUGACCACGCACAUCUAUCUCCACCGCACACGCACUCAGCCGAGCAGCUGAGCUGGGGGGACUGAGAGGCACUAAUUAAUUGAUUCCUUGGACUGUAAAAUAUGGCUGUGUCUACACACACGGAACCUGUGGACUCAUAAACAAUAUGUCUGCAGAUGUGAGUGCACUGUCUCUUAAAGAAUUUUUCUAUAGUUAUGUGCCUAUUAGAAUCCAGGAUUUGAAAGACUCAAAUAAGAUUGCUUUUUCAUAAGCCUCAACACAGUACAAUGUCAGAAAAUUCUGCAAAAACUUGGGUUAUGGAAUAGGUUUUCUCUGCUGUUACUGUAGACACACAAAUUGGCUUCUGACUGCUAAGUGUUAGGAUCAAAAUCAAAGCCCAGCUGAGAAGGCCUGAAUGAAGCCUUUGCCCUUCCUGGGAGAAGGGGAAUGGGCCCAGGUUCAGGCCUUACUUCAUAAUGCUGCUUAGGCUCAAGAUUAUAAUAUUAAUAUAUAUAUAUAUUUACAAACCCUAACCUAAAGGAGCCUAACCCUAACCCUUACCUAGCUCUCCAGAUCACUGUCCACCCCUUAACUAUCUGCCUGCAUAGAGCAUUGCUAUAACAUGCUUGCAUUAGUCUUGGAAGAAUGUGUCUUGAGAUGCAUAAGUAAAUAGCUCUAACAAUUCUAUAUAAUCAUGAUUCCAUAGUGAAUCUUGAUGCAAAUAGGCGUUAAUAUGUUCUCAACAGAUACCAGCUUCAGACAAGAGACACAACAGGAAACUAAAAGUGACCAUUUAUACAACAAUGUUUGCUGACAUACAUGGCUAUUUCAAAGACAAAAAUACUAGGCAGAAAUAGAAAAACACAAAUAGAAACACAAAUAGAAAAAACCAAUUAACCAGUGGAGUUUGUCAUUACCAAUGUCAUCAUUGCUUCCUGAUUUUGGGUGACUCUUUUAAACCCGGCUGUGUUCCCUUCAUUCAGCACGGCAGAGAUGGUCUACCUUCCCAUACCUUCAGCUCUGGCUCCAAUAUUUAUUUUUAAAAAAAUCUUCAGAGAAAUGUAUACCACAAAUAAUAUGUGCAUCUAAAGAAUAUGCCAAUAUAAUUUACAUAUUUUUUCAUAUACUAGGCUGAUAUGCACUUUGUAUGUGUGUAAGAAUGUGAUAUAAUUCUGAGUUUUUACUGCUGUAGUAAUAUUUGGGUGCAUUUCAUGCAAUAGUUCCAUAUGCUACAGAAUGUAGAUACACGUGACUAAAUGAACUCAGAAAAGCACACCCUUUAUGUAGGAUAUAUGAAAGCCUUGCUUACAAAUGCAAAUAAAUUCUUGUUUGUGAAUC